rnacentral:rRNA from 1 species
ACUGUGAUUCCCUUAGUAACUGCGAGUGAAGCGGGAAAAGCCCAUCGUUUAAUCUCCCUGGACUGUGUUCAGGGCGAAAUGUAACGGUAUGGAUAGGUUCUCUACUGACAAUGUCUGAUCAAAGUCCUCCGGAUUGAGGUGCCAAAGAGGGUGACAGCCCCGUAUAUGAUUGGACGGCGUUAGGUAUGUGACCAAUUCCGAGAGUCGGGUUGUUUGGGACUGCAACCUAAAGUAGGUGGUAAACUCCACCCAAGGCUAAAUAUUGACACGAAACCGAUAGCGAACAAGUACUGUGAAGGAAAGUUGAAAAGAACUCUGAAAAGAGAGUUAAAAGUACGUGAAACCGCUAACGGGGAAGCGGAAGGCAGUGUCGAGAUCGAGUAAGUGGGUCAUUUCAAGUGUAUCUAUCCUAUAAUAUUAAUUAAUAUAGGUAAGGUGCGUUUGGGGUGGCUAGCUUUGCUUGAUGCGUCAGACCUAUUGGUGGGCGAUGGUUCAAUUGUUGGCAUGGCUUCUACGACACUUGGUUUUAAUCAAGCUCGUGGUUGCGGUCAAUGAUCCACCUCGUGUGCUGAUAUGUAUGUGUUGAAGCGCUGGUGAUGUAGUGUCGGUUGGUGCGGUGUGGUGCUUCGUAUUGGUCACAUUGUGGCUACGUGCGGAGAAAUUAUGCUGUAGAUCAACGACCAGUGCUAGUAUUUGACGUGAUACCUAACUUUC